CACUGCACUGCGUCCAAAUUGCUGGGUUUUUGAUUGACUUGGCGGCGCUGCAAAAGCGUUCGCUGACUUCAGUGUGCGCCGACCAGUUUAAGCAGGCAGACGACGGCCACUAUUCGGUUUUUGCUGAGAGUGUAUGUGUGUGUAAAUGUACGUAUAUGUAAAUGUGCCAACCACAUACAGCAACGAGCAUUUAUUUAGUCGUUAACGCGUCCCCGUGUGGAUAUUUUUACUUGUUCAAGUAAAAUUUAAUAAAAAAAUUUAAUUCUAAAACGUUCUCAUUCUUAUUCGUUUGUUUGUUACUUUCGAUAAAAAAAGUGAGUGAGUGUGAUUUUUGUUAGAGGGGAAAAAUUGAAGAAAAGCAAUUUUUGCACUCAAAACAUCUACAACAAACAAAGUGAACAACAAUUGCAAGUGUUGUGCAAAGCAAAAGUAAAAGAAAAUAUAUGAAAAAAAAUGUAUUACGAAAAAACAAAAAAAAAAUUAACGCAGCAGUAGUCAGCACGACGAGCUAUCACGACAAAACGGCAGCAUUCGAACACAAAAACAAAAGCAACAACAACACAAACAACUUUAACAACGCCUGUGGCUGCUGUUUUUCCUCCUCUGCUGUCAGCAGCUCACUCACUUUUGGCUGCCUGUUGCAAAAUUAGCCAAUAAAAAAAUUGAACAAAAAAAAUUUUUGCUUUGAAUUUCAAAAGAAAUAAAUAAAAUUUCUGCAGCAUUGCAGAGAGGUGCGGGAGUAAUGCGCAGUAUUCGAAAGCUGAAGCUGCAACUAGAUUUGAAAAAAGCAAAAAAGUAAAAACAAAAAAUUUAGAAGCCCCAGAGUAGUGGCAUUUGAGAAUUUCAAUGAAGCUUUUUUCGUUGAAAGCAAAAGUAAAGUAAAUUUUUUUUCCAAAUCUAUGACAACAAAAUCGUUGCAAAAGUUUAUUGUGCUGUUGAAAAGUGAAUUAUAUCGGCGCAUAGGAAAAUGCCUACGUUUCAAUGACAACCAUGGACGGAUUAAGAUUGGAAAAAUGAGCAAACACAUUGACGCAUUGAAUUCCUAAGAGAACAAAAGAAAAGCGGAAAACAAAGAGUCAAAAUCAAAGUGAAAUUUUGUGUUUAACAAAUAAGAAAUACUUGCGCGAAUAAGUAAAUAGCAAAAACAUAUUUGUUUAAAAAAAAUAAAAAUUAAAUUAAAUUCAAACUAAGCAACCUAAAAAGAAAAUACACAGCAACAAAAGGGAGGAAGAGACUCUAAAACAACAGCUGCUUGUAAUUAAUAUUGUGUGCUCACUCGAACAGUUUCACUUUCAGUUGGCGGUGUUGUAAUAAUAAAAGCAAACGCCUCAACAACAACAACAACUACAAUAGCCGCAAAAAAAGUGAAGUGCGAAGUGCAAAAUUCAACGCCAACAACGUGAACAUAUUUCCAUAGCACAAACAAAAAAACGCAUUUAUUCAUAUUUUCCAAUUCGCACAUUUUCCAACUUUACAUUUUUUCCACUUUUCGCUAUUUCGGCUUCGUAAAAUUUUCGUCGUUUCGCUGAAAAAUCGCGCGUGACGCGGCGUCCUCUUUUCGUUCAACUUUGUAUUUACGUUGCUGCCACUUCUUCGACUAAAGCUUAGUUUGCACUGCUGUGUUAUUUCUUGCCACUUCGCUUUCGGUUGCAAAUUUGCCACACACAACUGUACCGCCCGCUUGCCGCUCACUACGUGUGCAAAUUCGCUGUGCAGAGAUUUUUGCGCGGGCCUUCAGACUUCAGACUGUGUUAACCUUUAGAAAUUAAUAAUUUAAUUAGAAAUCAGCAUCAACAUUUUAUACAAAAUGUCACACAACAUUGCAAUUUCAUUGGCGAUCAUCGCGUCAAUUGUCACAAUAUGCACAUCACUGCCAGAUUAUCACAAACAAAUGUCACCCACACAGCUGCAGUCGGUAUUCCAUGUCGACAGUGUGAACGCUGUGCCGCACUAUGAAGUCGUGCAGCUGCUACAUCACAGCUUCGACGAUGGCGUGGCGACGGCGUCACUGCCCGAACAUUAUCGUCGCCGUCGACGACGCAGCAUAAACAGUGUGGCGCUGGACACGGAUGCUCGAGCGACCCUCAAAGAGCCACAUCAUGUGAAAAAGGAUUUGAGUAAAAAUCCUUACUAUAGCGAACUGAAGGCGGCAGCUAAUGCGCCAGGCGCUGGCGGUGUGAAUAGCUUAGAGCAAGCGACGCGUGGCAAAUUCCCAAGCGAUUUACGCGAGCUGAAAGAGCACAAAGUCUCGUUUAAUGCUUUUGGUGAGAAUUUGAAUUUAACACUGAAACGUACAGAUAGUCUGUUCAAAGGUGGUUCACCGCACACGUUGCGCAUGUGGACAGUGCGUGACGAGGCGAAUGCGACGCAUGGCUUGGAUAUGGAAGAGGUGUACGAUGAGGAUGCUCAAUCCAGCGAUCAAAUUGGUCAAGUCUACCAAGACGAAACCAACAUGGCGGCCAUAUUAAUGCGCCGUCACUUGGAGACUGGUGAUUUAAUAAUGGAGGGCAGCAUUGGCCAUGAGAUGGUAAUAAAACCGCUGCCGCAUGAGCUGAGCCCAAAUCCAGACGCAGCACAUCAUGUCGUGUACAAACGUGAAGCGCAGCCACUUGAACAUUUGAGCGAUUUUGCUUUUAUGGAGCCCGACGAUUUGGAUAUUAGCGAAAAGCUUGAACGUCGCCAGCGUCGCUCUGCGCCAUUUGAUGGUGAUGAAGCGUCGUUAGAGGAACUGGACGAUGAAAUGGAGACAUUGUCAGCGGAAGCCACAAAUACACGCAAUAAACGCCAAGUGCCCUAUAUCAUCUAUCCUGAGGUGUUGGUAAUCAUCGACUAUGAUGGCUAUCGGUUGCAUGGUGGAGAUAAUUUACAGGUGAAGCGUUACUUCAUUUCAUUCUGGAAUGGCGUUGAUCUGCGCUAUCGUUUGCUGAAAGGUCCAAGGAUACGUAUCAGCAUUGCUGGCAUCAUUAUUUCGAGGGGAAGAGAUGCAACACCAUACCUGGAGAGGAAUCGUGUCGGACGAGAUGCCAUCGAUUCAGCGGCUGCCUUAACCGAUAUGGGUAAAUAUUUAUUCCGUGAGCGACGGUUGCCCGUCUACGAUAUUGCAGUGGCGAUAACAAAACUUGAUAUGUGCAGACGUACAACAGCUCAUGGUGAAUGUAAUCGUGGUACAGCAGGUUUUGCGUAUGUUGGCGGUGCCUGCGUUGUGAACAAGCGUUUGGAGAAAGUCAACAGUGUUGCCAUCAUUGAGGAUACUGGUGGUUUCAGUGGCAUCAUUGUCGCUGCUCACGAAGUUGGACACUUGCUUGGCGCCGUGCACGAUGGCUCACCACCACCCAGCUACCUUGGCGGUCCGGGUGCGCAACGUUGCCGUUGGGAGGAUGGCUACAUAAUGUCCGAUCUGAGGCAUACGGAGCGCGGUUUCCGGUGGUCACCAUGCACCAUACAGAGUUUCCAUCAUUUCCUUAACGGUGAUACCGCCACCUGUCUACACAAUGCACCACAUGAGGAUAGCGCGCUGGGACGCGCAUUGCCCGGCACACUGCUUUCGCUGGACGCGCAGUGUCGUCGCGAUCGUGGCACGUACGCGUGCUUCAAGGACGAGCGUGUCUGUGCGCAGCUAUUCUGCUUCGAUGCGCAGACGGGUUAUUGUGUGGCAUAUCGGCCGGCGGCCGAAGGAUCUACGUGCGGCACUGGAUUGCAAUGCCUGGACGGUCGGUGUACACCACUCACUUCGAAUGUCAUACCUGCUUAUCGGUCUUACAACAAUACCGUGAGCGCUGCCGCCAAAUUGCAACAACAUGCAACACUGCACAACAAUAACGACAACAACAACGAAGAUGACGUAGACGACACCGAGGACAAUGUCGAUGACGCCAACGUGGACGCUGACGAUGACGAAAGCAAUGAGGCGAUUGACGACAAACAACAAAAACGUAAGUUUCAAACAGGAACAACAGUAAGCGCGAAUGCACAACAACAAGAACACACACAACGCCUACAAAAAGCGCCGCCACCGUUAGCACCCACGCGCAGCAGUAGCAGUAACGACGGCAGCGGAGGUAUUAAUAGUAGCAGCAAUAAUAAAGCGCUGCAACGUCCUGCCACAUUCAUUGAUGCUUACUUGAAAAAGUUGCAAGCACUUAAUACGCCAACAGAUGUAACGGCAACACUAACGGCCACCACCACGGGCACAACUGUAUCGACAUCGAGUGUGAUAGGCAGCAAUGGCAAGGCAGUUGCAACGGGAACGCAUGAAAGUGAAACGGAGAAGCGCGCACAGCCGGAAACAUUUGGCAGCCAUUUUCUGAAACGUACGCAAAAUUCAAAUAGUAGAAGUAGUAGUGGCAAUGGUAGUGUUGGUAGCGGUAGCAAUAGCAACAGUAAUCAUAACCACGGUAAUAGUAGUAGCAACAACAAAAACAACAACCAAAAUAGAAAUCACAAAAAACUGACACGUAUUUCAAGCCACAAUGAUGCGGCAACAUUGAAACCACAACAAAACGAGUAUGACAAUGUAAGCGAAAACGAACAAGCGGAACAGGUUGUGAGAGGCGCAAAUAAUGGGGAACUGCGCAUUGCGACGACAACACAACAACCUGCUUAUGUGACAAAUUAUAUAGGCGAUAAUACAAAUAAUUUGCCCAGAUUGCUUGAACAGCAGCAGCAGCGGCAACAAGAACAACAGUCAUCCUCAACAAAAACAACAUCAACAACAACAUCCUCACAACCCAACCAACAAUCACAACAACAACAACAAAAAGCACAUAAAGUUAAAACACAAAAACUCAUACGCCGUCAAUUGUUGCGCACACAAAUUAAAUGAGCAAAAUUAUGCGUGAAUUCACUCAAACAUAUGAGUAUGAGCAAUUGCAAAAUAUAGUUUGUAUUACUAUUUAUAUACUUAGCGAUAAAAUCUGCAAAUGGAUUGCAUUUCUUUACCACAACAUACGCGUCUCGUCUAAAUAUCGUUACCUUCAGCAACCACUCACUCAUUCACACACCACUCCACUUCACCACACGUUCAUAGAUUUGGCCAAAUUAGCUGUUGCCGACUUGCGCUUAAUGGCAAUAAGCUGUACGCGCAGAGAAGUCAGUUUAGACAAGUAAAAGUAACGCAAAGUGGCACUAAAAGUGAAUUGCGCUCUUAAGAAAAAGUACUCCAUAAAUAACGGCAACAAUUUAGGCAUUCUAAGGCAUCAGUCCACUAGCCACACUCGUAAGAAUCACAAAAGAAAAACCACAACAAUAUAAUUGUCACUGUCAGCUUUCGUUUCAAAACUACAGACAUGCGUGGUUAACUGGAAGACGUUUCCUUUUUGAUAAAACAAUUCCGUUGCUGAUCGAUUGAAGGCGUAGUCAUGUAUUUUGGUGUUAAUUGCUAUGUUCUAGCAGCAAUCUGGUGACCCAAUUUUUAACAAUAACAAACUUGUAACGACAAAGUACAGAGCAUAGCAACAUGUGUAACAGCAAAUGGCGAUGGCAGCAGCGGUAAAGUUAACGAGCAUCUCAACAAUAACAAUCACGACAACCCUUUGACAGCCGACCAACAAGCAGAUAUAUAAAUUCAGGAAAUGGAUUAGCAGCAUAGAAAACACCAACAUCAUAGCAAUUUUGAUUUUUUUAGAGAAAUUUGUAAUUAUAAAAGAAAAUAAGUUGUAAUACAAAUAAAACACAAGCAAAAAAGGGAGUUGUAACAAAAGCCUGCCAAAACACACUUAUAAAACCAUCCAUAAACCCAUGAAAUGCAUAUAAAUUCAUUUAAAUUUUCUAUUCAGAAAACCCACACACUACCUACAUACUAAUAAAAGCAUACAUACAACCAUGCGUCGUAAUAUUAGAUAAGACAUCGAUCAAAUAUAACCACACUUGUGAGCAUUCAUAUUUAAUUUUUGCAUAUAUUAUUUGUAGUAUAUAAAGGAAAGCGAGCAUAGUUAGAAUUUAUUUUGUUUUAGGUUUUAAUUAUUUAAACAUAUCCGUGUGUAUGUUAAUAUACAUAUGUAUACAUGCAUAUGUGUAUGCAUUAAAGAAUAGUUUUAUUUAUAUUAAUUGUAUUUUUUUAAAUAAAUUCUAUGUUUUUGUUUAUUUGUUAAAAAAUUUAAAUGCACUUAACUGCAUAGAUUAGAAAUUAAAAAAAUGUUGAAGUAUUCUGAAAAACUAACAACAAAUCAAAUUAAAUUAAUAGUAUUGUGCGAAUCCCCAUAACUCAUACUUUGUAAAAUGAAUAUUAUAUACCAACCCAUAUUAUUUGAUAUGUAUUAAUUUUCAUGUCCGAAAUUUUUGUCAAGCAACCAUUUGGAAAAAAUAUUCACUAAAUUCUAUUAGCAAACUACUACAUACACACACUGCAUUGGCAUAUUGUUUAAUUGUAAAGUGUUAUUGUAUUUUAGACGCACUUUAAACAAAUACACUAAGUGAAUAUUUUAAGCGUAAUUUACUUUGUAUGAAUAUGUCAUUUGACAAAGUAUGUAAAAAGGAGCGGAAAAUGAUGUUUCUAAUAUAAAUAUAUUUAGCUAAAUACAUAAAAAAAAAACUUAAACGUAGUUAAAUGCGAGAGAAUUGUGAAAAUCAUAAAUUUAGAGAUUGUAAAAAUUAAAAUUUUG